UUAAUAAUAGAUAAAAAAUAAUUAUGUUUAAAAAAUUUUAUUAAAAGUUUAUUUUAUAUAUAAAUUUUAGUGUAAAAUUAUUAUUAUUUUAAUAAUAAUAAUAAUGUUAUUGUAGUAAAUAAAAUUAAAAAUUUAAGAAAUUAAGAUUUAGUAAUACAGAAAUUAAUAACAAAUUUUGUGCCAGCAGUUGCGGUUAUACAAAAAUUAAAUUAAAUUAUUUCAGUAUAUAAAUAAUAAAUUAAAUUAAAAUAAAUAUUAAAUUAUUAGGUGAAAUUUUAAUUUAAAUAAAUUUUAUUAAAAAAUUUAUGUUUUAAUAAAUUUUAUUAUAAACUAGGAUUAGAUACCCUAUUAUUAAAAAUUUAAAUUAUAAUACUAAAAUAGUAGAUAAUUAUUUAUUGAAACUUAAAUAAUAUGGCGGUAUUUUAGUUCAUUUAGAGGAAUCUGUUUAAUAAUUGAUAGUCCACGAUUAAAUUUACUUAAUUAAUAAUUUUAUAUAUCGUUGUUAAAAAAAUAUUUUUAAUAAAAAAUAAUAUUUAAAAAUUAAAAUAAAAAAUUAAUUCAGAUCAAGAUGUAGAUUAUAAUUAAGAAUAUAAUGGAUUACAAUAAAUUUAUUUAAAAUGAAUAUAUUAUUGAAAAAUAAUAUUGAAGGUGGAUUUAAAUGUAAUUUUAUUUAGUUAAUUAAAAUGAUUAAAAAUUAAAAUAUGUACAUAUUGGUCACUUUCAUUUAAACCCAAUUGAAAUAAGUCGUAACAAAGUAGAAGUACUGGAAAGUGUUUCUAGAAAGAA
rnacentral:ncRNA from 1 species